GAUGAAGAACGUAGCGAAAUGCGAUAACUAAUGUGAAUUGCAGAAUUCAGUGAAUCAUCGAGUCUUUGAACGCACAUUGCGCCCCCUGGUAUUCCGGGGGGCAUGCCUGUCCGAGCGUCAUUGCUGCCCUCAAGCACGGCUUGUGUGUUGGGCUCCGUCCCCCCGGGGACGGGCCCGAAAGGCAGCGGCGGCACCGAGUCCGGUCCUCGAGCGUAUGGGGCUUUGUCACCCGCUCUGUAGGCCCGGCCGGCGCCAGCCGACAACCCAUCAUCCUUUUCUGGUUGACCUCGGAUCAGGUAGGGAUACCCGCUGAACUUAAGCAUAUCAAUAAGCGGAGGA
rnacentral:misc_RNA from 1 species